rnacentral:rRNA from 1 species
UACGUAGGUGGCAAGCGUUGUCCGGAAUUACUGGGCGUAAAGAGCUCGUAGGUGGUUUGUCGCGUUGUUCGUGAAAUCUCACGGCUUAACUGUGAGCGUGCGGGCGAUACGGGCAGACUAGAGUACUGCAGGGGAGACUGGAAUUCCUGGUGUAGCGGUGGAAUGCGCAGAUAUCAGGAGGAACACCGGUGGCGAAGGCGGGUCUCUGGGCAGUAACUGACGCUGAGGAGCGAAAGCGUGGGGAGCGAACAGG